rnacentral:rRNA from 1 species
GAUGAACGCUGGCGGCGUGCCUAACACAUGCAAGUCGAGCGAACGGACGAGAAGCUUGCUUCUCUGAUGUUAGCGGCGGACGGGUGAUUAACACGUGGAUAACCUACCUCUACGACUGGGAUAACUUCGCCAAACCGUAGCUACUACCGGAUAAUAUUUUGAACCUCAUGGUUCAAAAGUUAAAUACGGUCUUUCUGUCACUUAUAGAUUAACACGGGCUGCAUUAGCUAGUUGGUAAGGUAACUGCUUACCCAGGCAACGAUGCAUAGCCGACCUAAGAGGGUGAUUGCCAAGCCUGGAACUGAGAAACGGUACCGACUCCUACGGUAGGCAGCAGUAGGGAAUCUUCCGCGAUGGAGGAGAGCCUGACGGAGCAACGCCGCGUGAGUGAUGAAGGUCCUCGGAUCGUAAAACUCUGUUAUUAGGGAAGAACAUAUGUGUAAGUAACUGUGCACAUCUUGACGGUACCUAAUCAGAAAGCCACGGCUAACUACGUG